rnacentral:rRNA from 1 species
UACGUAGGGGGCAAGCGUUGUCCGGAAUCAUUGGGCGUAAAGAGCGUGUAGGCGGCCCGAUAAGUCCGCUGUGAAAGUCCAGGGCUCAACCCUGGAAUGCCGGUGGAUACUGUCGGGCUCGAAUCCGGAAGAGGUGAGUGGAAUUCCUGGUGUAGCGGUGAAAUGCGCAGAUAUCAGGAGGAACACCUGUGGUGUAGACAGCUUACUGGACCACUUCUGACGCUGAGACACGAAAGCGUGGGUAGCAAACAGG